AGGGUUGGAUGAGGGAUGUACUUUCUUUGGUCUAUGGGAUAGAAUUUGAUUUUUAUGUUAAAAAGCAUAAAUAUUUUUAGGUGACGAGAAGACCCUAUAGAACUUCAUAUAUAUCGGUAUGUGGAUAUUUUGGUAAAUUUGUGUUCAUGUAUUUUUAUAUAUUUUGUUGGGGUGAUGGGAAAAAUAUUUUAACUUUUAUUGUGUUUAUCAUAUAUUUAUGUUUUUGAUCCAUUUUUUAUGAUUAAAAGAUUAAGUUACCUUAGGGAUAACAGCGUCAUUAAUUUGGAGAGUUCAUAUCGAUAAAUUAGCUUGCGACCUCGAUGUUGGAUUAAAUAGGGUGAUGGGGGGUAGGUUUUCGUUAACUAGGUCU
rnacentral:rRNA from 1 species